rnacentral:rRNA from 1 species
UACGUAGGGGGCAAGCGUUGUCCGGAAUCAUUGGGCGUAAAGCGCGUGUAGGCGGUUCGAUCAGUCUGCUGUGAAAGUCCGGGGCUCAACCCCGGAAAGCCGGUGGAUACUGUCGAGCUAGAGUGCGGAAGAGGCGAGUGGAAUUCCUGGUGUAGCGGUGAAAUGCGCAGAUAUCAGGAGGAACACCAAUUGCGAAGGCAGCUCGCUGGGACGUUACUGACGCUGAGACGCGAAAGCGUGGGGAGCGAACAGG